rnacentral:rRNA from 1 species
GACGAACGCUGGCGGCGUGCUUAACACAUGCAAGUCGAACGGAAAGGCCCUGCUUUUGUGGGGUGCUCGAGUGGCGAACGGGUGAGUAACACGUGAGUAACCUGCCCUUGACUUUGGGAUAACUUCAGGAAACUGGGGCUAAUACCGGAUAGGAGCUCCUGCUGCAUGGUGGGGGUUGGAAAGUUUCGGCGGUUGGGGAUGGACUCGCGGCUUAUCAGCUUGUUGGUGGGGUAGUGGCUUACCAAGGCUUUGACGGGUAGCCGGCCUGAGAGGGUGACCGGCCCCAUUGGGACUGAGAUACGGCCCAGACUCCUACGGGAGGCAGCAGUGGGGAAUAAUGCACAAUGGGCGGAAGCCUGAUGCAGCAACGCCGCGUGCGGGAUGACGGCCUUCGGGUUGUAAACCGCUUUCGCCUGUGACGAAGCGUGAGUGACGGUAAUGGGUAAAGAAGCACCGGCUAACUACGUG